rnacentral:misc_RNA from 1 species
GAAAUGUUAGGAAACAACUCAAGAAAAUUGAUGAACGAGAACUACAUAUGAAGUAAGAGAAGUUACAGAAUCACUCCAUGGCGACGGUGGCUCCGGCCUCCUUCAACUUGGCAACAAUCUGCUCCGCCUCCUCCUUCGUCACCCCCUGCUUAAUCACCACCGGCGCUUUCUCCACCAGCUCCUUCGCCUCUUUCAGCCCCAAGCUCGUGAACGCCCUCACCUCCUUAAUCACCUUAAUCUUCGCUGCUGCCUCGAAUUUCUCCAGCUUCACGUCGAACGCCG